rnacentral:lncRNA from 1 species
GACCAUGAAGAAUCAGUAAGUCCUCAACAGAGUUAGCCAUCUCACCAGAACAUAAUUGGGAAGUUUCCAAAAUAAAAGAUUUGAUCUGGAUCGAAAGUGCCCUCUCAGAGACAGAAGCCGCAUCAAAUACAACUCUGUUACGAAUAUUCCAGAUGCUCCAAAUUGUGGACAUAACACCCAUUCGCCAAAGAUUUACAACCUGCUUGCUAGUCUGCACCUUCAUUGCCCAGAGAAGCAGACUCCCAAUGUCGUGAAUCAACGGACUAUCCACCCUGAACCAGCCGAAAAGGGAGCGCCAGAUUUGUCGAGCAAAAGUACAGUCCCAAAAAAGAUGAUCAAUAUCCU